UUUGCCGCAGGACAUGAAACUGGAAUUCUUCAUUUGAUCAGGAUAUUGUUUUAAAUUGAAUGUGGUUUGUGGGUGUAGUACACACGUAUUUCUAGGGGGCGGUAACGCGCCAGAAUGGUGGUUGCACCUGCCUGACCUAGAAAAUGAAAGAAGACGGAGGAUUGAUACGAAAAAGGUCGAAGUGGCGGCAAAAGUGAAGAGACGGAGGACAGUAACCAGCACAACCUCACUGUUUUCAGAGAGCCCGUGGCACGAAAAGCAACUUUUGUAGUUCUCCCAAGGAUUACGUCUGAAGCAGACAGAUCUUAUUGAAGAUGGUGUUACAGGCAGUAGCAGGACCUUAACCAAGAUGGCUUCAUCUCUGAGAAAAGUCUGCAGUCGUGCUGUGUGCAAACUUUGAGUUCAAUGUCAAAUGAAAGUUGGUGGCCAUCAUUGCUUUGUUAUGCUGGACGAAAGCAAGUUCUCACACAAAAGAAAGUACAACCAGGGGAGAAUGGGACCAGCAUGGAGACGGAAUAAAAAAUGGGUAUUUGGUAUGCUGGAAGUUGCGCAGACCACCAGGAGACCCAUUUUCAAGAUCCUCGCAAAGCGUUCCAAAGAGCAGCUUCUUCCCAUCAUA